rnacentral:misc_RNA from 1 species
AAGAAGGGAUAAAAAUGGGAUACUACGAUUUUGACGACCACUUCUGGUCCCCCCGCGAAGUCUGCGCUCAAGCCCCAAAAAAAGAGCAUCAAGAGAGAAAAUUCAAAGUUACGAAGCUAGUACAAACUAUCUUUGGCGUAGGGUCUCGCUCCAGCAAUAGUGUGGCAAAAAAAGCGAAGAGCUUUAUCAACUAAAUGCUUGAGUAAUGGGCAAUGGUUCGGGAGUACUACCAAUUACCCAUUAGCCAUUACCAAGGUUUGUAUUCUCCAAACCCUUGAGUAAAGCCUCUUGUAAAGCUUGAGUAAGUGCGAUCGCAGUAUGCUUAUCAUUCUCCUGACGGUACUCA